UUAUGUACAUGCCUACAACGUUAAUGCACUGGAUCCCAUCAGAAUUUUGUAGUUAAGAAUGUUUGGGCUAGAGUAGUAUUGGGAUGGGUGACCUCUUAGGAAGUCCUAAUGUUUUACAUGCC
rnacentral:rRNA from 1 species